rnacentral:rRNA from 1 species
AUUGAACGCUGGCGGCAUGCUUUACACAUGCAAGUCGAACGGUAACAGGCCGCAAGGUGCUGACGAGUGGCGAACGGGUGAGUAAUGCACCGGAACGUGCCCAGUCGUGGGGGAUAACGCAGCGAAAGCUGUGCUAAUACCGCAUACGAUCUAUGGAUGAAAGCGGGGGACCGUAAGGCCUCGCGCGAUUGGAGCGGCCGAUGUCAGAUUAGGUAGUUGGUGGGGUAAAGGCUCACCAAGCCAACGAUCUGUAGCUGGUCUGAGAGGACGACCAGCCACACUGGGACUGAGACACGGCCCAGACUCCUACGGGAGGCAGCAGUGGGGAAUUUUGGACAAUGGGCGCGAGCCUGAUCCAGCAAUGCCGCGUGCAGGAAGAAGGCCUUCGGGUUGUAAACUGCUUUUGUACGGAACGAAAAAGCUCCUUCUAAUACAGGGGGCCCAUGACAGUACCGUAAGAAUAAGCACCGGCUAACUACGUGCCAGCCGCCGCAGUAACAC